GGUUUUGGAUUCGAAUCAUAAAAGUUAAAUCCUAAGUCUAGCCCACUUGGGAAAGCCCAACAUUAAAACCCAAAACUCAAACCCUCCCCCUUUUCCUAAUUCACGUGAAACCUUGGAGAAAGAAAAAAAAAAAAAAAAAAAAAAGCAAACCUCCUUCUUCAACCUCACGUACGGUACAACCAAACCCUCAUCCUCUCUUCUCACCGUUUCUCCCUCCCGCCUCCACGUUCGUUGUUGCAGCUUCCCUCGCCGUCGGACCACCACCAGCCGUCGCCACUGCAACACCUCGACCCAGCACCACCGUCCGCCGGUCAACCUUGCCGCGAGCCACCACCUGUCCGCCGGCCAGCCUCCUCUCUCCUCUUUAAUUCUUGGCGGAGAAUUCUCUUUAGGCAACUUUUGAAAGUGUUAAAGUGGCGUAUCAGUUUGUUUACACAAGUCUCUAAGGAUCAAUAAGCGUUGCCCAUCUACAGGUUUGAAGAUGAUGCAUCAUUGGGAUCGGGAUUAGAGAGCUUGUAGUUAUAUUUGUUUAAUUAAGUGAUUUAAUUUGUUAAUUUGGACUUGAAAUUUGUCGUACUAUUCGUAAUUCCUUAUUUUCGUUAAUUGGUUUUUGAACUUAAUAUGUAAUCGAUUAUUUAUAAACCUAAAAGUUAGUUUUAUGUUUUCUGCUGCAAAAUUCUGAAUAAGCCGUUACGUUUU